rnacentral:rRNA from 1 species
GACGAACGCUGGCGGCGUGCUUAACACAUGCAAGUCGAACGAAAAGGCCCUGCUUGCAGGGUGCUCGAGUGGCGAACGGGUGAGUAACACGUGGGUGAUCUGCCCCUUAUUUUGGGAUAAGCCUGGGAAACUGGGUCUAAUACUGGAUAGGACCAUGCUGUAGGUGGUGUGGUGGAAAGAUUAGUUUCGGUAAGGGAUGAGCUCGCGGCCUAUCAGCUUGUUGGUGGGGUAAUGGCCUACCAAGGCGUCGACGGGUAGCCGGCCUGAGAGGGUGGACGGCCACAUUGGGACUGAGAUACGGCCCAGACUCCUACGGGAGGCAGCAGUGGGGAAUAUUGCACAAUGGGCGCAAGCCUGAUGCAGCGACGCCGCGUGGGGGAUGACGGCCUUCGGGUUGUAAACUCCUUUCGGCCAUGACGAAGCCCUUGUGGUGACGGUAGUGGUAGAAGAAGCACCGGCUAACUACGUG